UUUUCAUAAUUAUUAACUUUUCUGAGGAUUCAAAAAUUUAUAGCUGUAAUGUACAGCUGAUGUCUAUCUUAAAAGGUAAUGUGAUAAUUUUAAAACAUUUUAUCCCAAAAAUUCGAAAGCAUGAUUAUCAAUAUUAUCCACAUGAAAUCAAAUCUAUCAUAACUGAGAUAAGUCUAGAUAAGGAGAGGUUCAAAAUUGAUAAAAGAAGCUGAAGAUUUCAAAUUAAAACUCAAGAGCCUGUUUAUUCUUAUUAGAUAAACCUUCCAGUUGUGGUUGUUGGGAAAACAUGCUCUUUAAAAGCAUAUGUGUUUAUUUAAUUGUAAUAAAUCAUUUUUCUAAUUAAUAAAAUAAAUGAGGUAUUUUAUUCAAAUAUCUUAAUUGCAUUAAUAUUUGUAUUAAAGUCCAUUUAAUCAUAUUAUAUGUAUUUAUGUGAUCACCAUGUGGAUUCACAGAAGACAUAAAUACAAGUUCUCUUAUGAUUAAAUAAAUUUAGUUCGCAGUUGAUAAAUAAAGUUUGGCACUUUAUUUAGGUAUAGACUGUAAUAAAUUCAUUAAAUGAUUUAUCUUAAUCAUGUAUGAAUUUAUUGAUGUAGUGCGACUACAUUGAACAGGAUCACAUAUGAGAUUUAAUUAACUUUGUAAUAACUGUCAAACUUAUUAAAUCUCAUAGGCGUUGAUUUUACUGUAAUCUUAAUCUUAAGUUAAUUAUGAUUUCAUGAUUGUAAUUGUUAUUCCAUUUGAGUCACCAACGGGCACGACACAUCCUUGUGGUCAAGAUUACCCGGUAUCUUGGUGGGAGCAAUUAUGAGUAUUGGAGUUAUGGAUUAACAAUAUAGAAUUUGUACAACACAUCUCUUGAUGGGUUUUCGGCACUUGAUUAUAGAAUUCUCUGGCCAGAGUGUGUCAACAUAUUUAGUAUGUUGAAAAUGAUCAUUAGAGAAAACCAGUAAGGAUCAAGGAAUAAGAUGUUAUUAAAUUGAUUGGACAGUUGAGAUAUCAAUUUAAUUAACGAUGUGGUACAAAGGAUUGUGCAGUAAAGAAAUCAAUGUGGCUUGGGACGAAUUAUUAUUCGAGCGUACAAUUAUGGAAGUCGGUUCCAAUCUUUUAGUGGAGUAGAUUUGGAAUUAAAUAAUUGGGCUAGUUUAAUUACAGGCCUAAUUAUUGUAGCCACUAUUGUAUGUUCCCAAAUGAUCACCGGGUUAGCUCAUUUAAUUGACUGCACCACUACUGGACUAAUAAGUAAGAUAACUAGCUGUUUGGGUCAAAAGCCUAAAUAUAUCAUUUAGUGGGAGGCUCCAUUUAAUUAGCUUUUGUAUAAGGGGCCUUAUGUUAUUUUACAAGGUGGGUCCCCUAUUGAAAAAGCAAAUAAACGUGAGUUUUGUUUUUUGAUUAUUUGGAGCCUAGGGUUUUCACUAAAGGGUGAUAUAAAAUGCUUAUUUUUCCCUAAAGAAAAAAGAGAAGCCACUUUAUACAGAUCAGAGAAAAAAAAUUUUCUCUUCAUUGUUGAGAAAAAAAUUUUCUCGUGCUAGUUGCUUUGGUAGUGAUAAAGGCGCCCACACGUCAAGUGCAGAUCGAACCUGAGUCAUAACCUGGAAGAUCAUUGGAGACAGUUCGUGAUCUAACAAGCGUGGUGGUGAUGGAUCGUGAUCUAACAGAAGUGGUGGUGGCGGAUCGUGAUCUAGGAGCCUAAAUCACUUCAGCGGAAAAAGCCAACUAAGAUUUUCAAGGUACGAUUUCUGGAUUACGUAUUCCUAUAUAUUAUAUGAGAGCGGUCCUUAAAAGAUUUUAUAAAAUUUUUAAAAAACCUGAUUUUUACCCAACAAUUGGUAUUAGAGCCAUCUCAUAUUAAUAUAUAAGAAUAUUGUAUGAAAUUAAUCUUAAAAUUUAUGUAUUAGAGUGGCACAUUUUAUUCAGAUAUAUAUUAUUUGUUUAAUAUAUGAAUAAAGCAUGUUUAUGGUUUGUCUUAAUUCAUGGUUAGAUGUUCAACUGUAUUUUUCGUUUGUAUCUGUAACAAGAGGGGUGGUUUAUUAUCACCAUGUUUCCCUCUUGAUUUAUUUUAAUGUAAUUGAAAUUUUGUAAGCCAAAAUUAGCGUUGAGAAUUUGUAAAUCAAUGAAGAAUCAUCACUGAAAAAUUGCGGAAACUUGCUAGAAACUGCAGCAACGAACCAGCGCACGCUGCAGCGUGCGGCCAGCAGCACAUGCUGCCAGCAGCGGCUAGCAGCCACGCUGCUAGCAGCGGGCGCUGCACACGCAGCAGCUGUAGCGUGCGCUGCAAUGCUGCAAACAGCACUACCAUCAGCGCGGGCGAGGACUUGUGACGCGCGUGCAUAGGCUACUAGUGGAGGGCGUCGUUUGGGUGCAUUUCUGGCGUGACGGCGGCAGCAAAUCGGCGUCGGAGAUGCGUGAACAGUUGCUGCCCUUUGUGGAGAUGGCGGCUGGGGAAGAUGAAAGAAAGAAAAAUAUGAUUUUAGGGUUUCAUGGUUUUUAUCAUGGAGGUCCCUAUGGUUUCAUAAGUUUUCUUUCAGGUAGAAAUGUUUCAAUUUUUUGCGUUUAAAUCCAAAAACAGUUUUGGGCUUAAAGAAUCAUAGUUUUAGGCCCAAUUAAAAUUUGGGCUUAAUGGAUUAAAAUGCAUAGAUAAAAUUGAACACAUUAAAUUUAUUUUUGGUCCAAAAGUUUUAUUUUAAUAAAAAAAUUUUUUAUUUAUUUAUUUUCUUUCAAAAUUAAAAUUGGACCAAUUAUAAAUUUAAAAGCCUAAUUUUUCCUAGUCCAUUAACAAAGACAAGAUUAUGGAAGAUGGACAUUGACAAGAAGCCCAAUGAGGAUUAGGCUUAGGGUUAAUGUAUUUUUCAUUAUUAGGAAAGCCAUGAAUUAAGAUUAUUUAAUUAUUUUUCUAUAUGUUAUGUUUUGGAUGAUAACAUGCCAUGAUAACAUGUCAUAUAGAAUAGGUAGUGCCACUCUAUGCAUAAUGAUACAUGUCAUUCAUUAAUAAUGAAUUUCAUUAUAUUGUUUGAAAUUUGCUUAUGCUUAAUAAUAUUUAAUAUCAUCUAGAUAAUAUUAUAGGAAGCAUGCAAUUAAGAAUAUGUAUGUUUUAAAAAGGAAAAACCAAUUUUAAAAUAUUGAGUGGGAGAGGGAAAAUUUAAGAUAAUUUUCCCACGGGCUCCAUUGUUAGUUCAAUAAUAAAAUUAUAUAUAUACCUCGACUUCAUGAUACGGUGAUGCUCCCUUCGGAGGGUAUAUAUAUUAUAUAUUUUAUUUGAUGAACUUCUUCAAAGAUAAAAUUGAAAUAUUUUUCAAUCGAUUGUUCACCCCAACGGUGACUAUUGAAAUGAAAAAUAUCUAGAUUGAAACAAUGGUUAUACACUCAACUAAAAUUUGUUAUUAAUCUUCCCAACGAAGCUCUGUUAACAAAUUUAGGCCCAAAAGGAUCACGAUAAUUAUUUAUCAUGUCUCUACAUGAAAGUAAAUGAUCCAAUGGGUAAUUGGGUCUAGAAAGUAUAAACAUGACUUUCCCACCGGAUAGCUUGUCAAAGCGGAACUAGAUUAUCGUUACAAUAAAUUAAAAUGCAUUUAUGGUUUUAUGCAUUUUUGUCAUUUAUUGUGAAUAUUAUUUCAAAUUAUUUAUGCAUGGAUGUUUUAUUUUUCAGAAAAUGUCUUCCCUAAGCCCACUUACUAUUAUUCUGAGUCAAAACAAACUCACUGGAGAGAACUAUAUAGAUUGGAAAAGAAAUCUAUUCAUUGUCCUGACUGCUGAAAAUUAUAAAUAUGUCUUAACCCAGCCAUGCCCCCCAAUUCCAGCGGAUGAUGCUCAUAGAAAUCAGAGGAGGCUUUAUGAGAAAUGGCAAAAGGCCAAUGAAAUGGCAAAGUGCUACAUUUUAGCCUCGAUUUCUAAUAUUCUGCAGACCAAACAUCAAAACUUGGAGACUGCCACUGAAAUAAUGGAUAGUCUCUAACAGAUGUUCGGGCAGAGUACUCGCUCUGUGAGACAAGCAGCGCUGAAAGGAAUUAUGAACAGUAAAAUGGGGAAGGGCACAAGAGUUCGUGAUCAUGUCCUCAAAAUGAUGGACUAUUUGAAUGAGGUUGAGAUUCAGGGAGCACAAAUCGAUGAUAACUCAAAGAUUGACAUGGUGCUAGAAUCUCUGCCAGAAACAUUCAAGGAGUUUAAGGUCAAUUAUAACAUGAACAAAAGAAACAUGACCUUAACUGAAUUGAUGAACAAACUCCAUUCUACUGAAGAGAUCUAUCGUGCUGAGAAAUCUCUGGGAAGCAUAAAUAUUACUGAAAAAAGUUCAUCUUCUGGGCCUAAACCGAAAAGCAAAGGUAAGAAGAAAGCUGGGAAAAAGAGACCGUCUACCAAGCAAGAUGGCAAGCCGAAAGGCAAAUGCUUCAAGUGUGGACAGAAAGGUCACUGGAAAAAGGAUUGCCCUAAGAUUGUGAAAUCAGGUAUGGGAAAUCUUUUUGUAACUGAGGCCUGUUUAGUUCAGAAUCCUAUUGACACUUGGGUGUUGGAUUCAGGAGCAACUAAUCAUAUUUGUAAUUCAUUUUAUUGGUUUCAGGAAACCAGGAAAAUAAGUGAAGGAAGCGUCAAGCUGCAGUUAGGGACAGGACAGUUCGUGUCAGCAGUAAAGACUGGAUCUAUUUUAUUAUCUUUUAAUAAUGAGACUUUAGUUUUGAAUAAUUGUCUUUAUGUUCCAGACAUUAAGAGGAAUUUAAUUUCAGUAGCUUGUUUGUCAAAGCAAGGGUACACUAUAAAUUUUGGAUACUCUGUUUCUAUUUUUCAUAAUAAGAGACUUAUUUGUUCUGGUACAUUGGAAGAUAAUUUAUAUCAUUUAAGUCAAUGAUCCAUUCUAUGCAUGACACAGUGAUAAAUAAUGAUGAGCAUACACAUUUAUCUAAGAAAAGAAAUAUUUCUUCCAAUCAAUGUUACCUCUGGCAUUUACGCUUGGGUCAUAUAAACCAAAAUAGGAUACAGAGAAUGAUCAAAGAUGGGCUCUUGGGUCCAUUAGAAAAUGAAUCAUUGCCACUCCGUGAAUCCUGUUUAGAAGGGAAAAUGACCAAAAGGCCAUUCUCGGCCAAAGGAGUACGUGCAACAGUACCACUUGAAUUGGUACAUACAGAUGUAUGUGGACCAAUCAAUGUACAAGCUCGAGGAGGUUAUGAGUAUUUCAUCACUUUUACUGAUGAUUACUCAAGAUAUGGUUAUGUUUAUCUGAUGCGUCAUAAGUCUGAAGCUCUUGAGAAAUUCAAAGAGUAUAGGGCUGAGACAGAAAAGCAAUUAGAUAAGAACAUAAAGAAACUUUGAUCUGAUCGAGGUGGUGAAUUUCUCUCAGGAGAUUUCAAAGAGUAUUUGGUUGAAAAUGGGAUUAUAUCUCAAUUGACUGCCCUGGGAACACCACAACAAAAUGGGGUAGCUGAAAGAAGAAAUAGAACUCUUUUGGAUAUGAUGAGAUCUAUGCUUAGUUAUUCGUCAUUACCAAUCUCUUUUUGGGGACUAGCACUGGAAACUGCAGUUUACCUUUUGAACUUAGUUCCAUCUAAGUCAGUGCCUAAAACCCCAAUAGAAUUAUGGUCAGGUCGCAAACCAAGUUUACGACAUGUCCGUAUUUGGGGAUCACCAGCACAUGUGCUGAAACCAAAGGCAGACAAAAUGGAUUCACGUUCUGAGGUUUGUAUGUUUGUGGGGUAUCCCAAAGGAACAAUGGGAGGUUUAUUUUAUAGUCCUCAAGAUAGGAAAGUGAUCGUGAGCACACAUUUCACUUCCCUUAAGGAAGCUAUGUGAAUAACUUCAAACCUAAGAGUAAGGUAAUACUUGAAGAACUGUCAGGUGAUCAGGUUGAUGCUCAGCUUUCAAUGCCUGUUACAGAACAGGAAGAACAACAACAACCAGAUGAUCAACACAGGAUUAACCCUGAACAACCAUCACUUUUAGAACUUCGUCGUAGUGGGAGGGUAACUAGGUUACCUGCGAGAUACUUGCUUUUGGGAGAAACCUAUACGGCUAUCUCAGAUGAACAUAUACAAGAUCCCACUAGUUACAACGAAGCUCUAAUAGAUAGAUAUGUUGAAUUUUGGAAAAAGGCCAUGAAUCAAGAAAUGGAAUCUAUGUAUUCCAAUAAAGUCUGGGAACUUGUAGAGGCACCAAAUGGGGUAAAACCUAUAGGAUGCAAGUGGAUCUACAAGAGAAAAAGAGGAGUAGACGGAAGGGUGGAAACAUUUAAAGCAAGAUUAGUAGCCAAAGGGUUUACUCAGAAAGAGGGAAUCGAUUAUGAGGAAACUUUUUCUCCGGUUGCUAUGCUUAAAUCCAUCAGGAUUCUGCUCUCCAUUGCUGCAGUGCUAGAUUAUGAAAUUUGGCAAAUGGAUGUCAAGACUGCCUUUCUCAACGGGCAUCUUGAAGAAAACAUCUACAUGCAGCAACCAGAUGGAUUUAUACAAAAAGGCCAAGAACACAUGGUAUGUAAGUUGCAGAGAUCCAUUUAUGGAUUGAAGCAAGCAUCCUGGUCAUGGAACAUCAGAUUUGAUCAAGCGAUAAAAUCAUUUGGAUUCAUUCAGAACAUUGAUGAACCAUGUGUGUACAAGAAAAUUCAAGAAAAAUCUGUAGCCUUCCUAAUUCUUUAUGUAGACGAUAUUCUCCUAAUUGGAAAUAAUAUAGGGGUAUUGACUACAAUAAAGAGUUGGUUAGCGAAACAAUUUGAUAUGAAAGAUCUGGGAGAGGCAAGUUAUAUUCUUGGUAUCAAAUUACUAUGAGACCGGAAGGAUAAAACUUUAGCCUUGUCUCAAGCGGUCUAUAUCGAUAAGAUAUUGGCUAGAUUUAGCAUGGAAAAUUUCAAAACUGGUUUAUUACCAUUCAGACAUGGAAUUACAUUCUCUAAGGAUCAAUCACCUAAAACAUCUGAAGAGAUAGAGAGAAUGAGACGAGUUCCCUAUGCAGAAGCUGUGGGAAGUCUUAUGUAUGCCAUGCUUUGCACUAGGCCAGACAUCUGUUUUGCGGUAGGGAUGGUUAGUAGAUAUCAGUCUAAUCCUGGACCUGAACACUGGACUGCGGUCAAGCAUAUAAUGAAGUAUCUGAAAAGAACUAAAAAUUAUAUGCUUGUGUAUUCUGGUGAUGAACUCAUUCCAGUGGGUUAUACUGAUUAUGACUUUAUGUCAGAUAAAGAUUCCAGAAAAUCAACUUCCGGCUAUGUGUUUACAUUGGGAAGUGGAGUUAUUAGUUGGAGGAGUGUGAAAAAAUCUUGUAUCGCAGACUCCACAACUGAAGCUGAAUAUGUGGCUGCAUCCGAAGCUGCAAAAGAAGCUGUAUGGCUCCGCAAGUUCCUACAAGAUCUUGAUGUGGUACCUGCUGUAACUGCACCCCUGAAACUAUUUUGCGAUAAUAGUGGUGCGGUAGCUCAAUCUAAGGAACCAAGGAACCACAAGAAACAAAAACAUAUUGAGAGGAAGUAUCAUCUUAUAAGGGAUAUAGUGCAGAGAGAUGAUGUGGAGGUUACUCAGAUUGCGUCACAGCAAAACUUGGCAGAUCCUUUUACUAAGGCCAUACCUGGGAAACCUUUUAACUUGCACUUAGAUGCCAUGGGCAUGCGUGAGAUGCCAAAUAUGCUUUGAGAGCUAGUGGGAGAUUGUUGGGAAAAUAUGCUCUUUAAAAGCAUAUGUGUUUAUUUAAUUGUAAUAAACAAUUUUUCUGAUUAAUAAAAUAAAUGAGGUAUUUUAUUCAAAUAUCUUAAUUGCAUUAAUAUUUGUAUUAAAGUCCAUUUAAUCAUAUUAUAUGUAUUUAUGUGAUCACCAUGUGGAUUCACAGAAGACAUAAAUACAAGUUCUCUUAUGAUUAAAUAAAUUUAGUUUGCAGUUGAUAAAUAAAGUUUGGCACUUUAUUUAGGUAUAGACUGUAAUAAAUUCAUUAAAUGAUUUAUCUUAAUCAUGUAUGAAUUUAUUGAUGUAGUGCGACUACAUUGAACAGGAUCACAUAUGAGAUUUAAUUAACUUUGUAAUAACUGUCAGACUUAUUAAAUCUCAUAGGCGUUGAUUUUACUGUAAUCUUAAUCUUAAGUUAAUUAUGAUUUCAUGAUUGUAAUUGUUAUUCCAUUUGAGUCACCAACGGGCACGACACAUCCUUGUGGUCAAGAUUACCCGGUAUCUUGGUGGGAGCAAUUAUGAGUAUUGGAGUUAUGGAUUAACGAUAUAGAAUUUGUACAACACAUCUCUUGAUGAGUUUUCGGCACUUGAUUAUAGAAUUCUCUUGCCAGAGUGUGUCAACAUAUUUAGUAUGUUGAAAAUGAUCAUUAGAGAAAACCAGUAAGGAUCAAGGAAUAAGAUGUUAUUAAAUUGAUUGGACAGUUGAGAUAUCAAUUUAAUUAACGAUGUGGUACAAAGGAUUGUGCAGUAAAGAAAUCAAUGUGGCUUGGGACGAAUUAUUAUUCGAGCGUACAAUUAUGGAAGUCGGUUCCAAUCUUUUAGUGGAGUAGAUUUGGAAUUAAAUAAUUGGGCUAGUUUAAUUACAGGCCUAAUUAUUGUAGCCACUAUUGUAUGUUCCCAAAUGAUCCCCGGGUUAGCUCAUUUAAUUGACUGCACCACUACUGGACUAAUAAGUAAGAUAACUAGCUGUUUGGGUCAAAAGCCUAAAUAUAUCAUUUAGUGGGAGGCUCCAUUUAAUUAGCUUUUGUAUAAGGGGCCUUAUGUUAUUUUACAAGGUGGGUCCCCUAUUGAAAAAGCAAAUAAACGUGAGUUUUGUUUUUUGAUUAUUUGGAGCCUAGGGUUUUCACUAAAGGGUGAUAUAAAAUGCUUAUUUUUCCCUAAAGAAAAAAGAGAAGCCACUUUAUACAGAUCAGAGAAAAAGAUUUUUCUCUCCAUUGUUGAGAAAAAAAUUUUCUCGUGCUAGUUACUUUGGUAGUGAUAAAGGCGCCCACAUGUCAAGUGCAGAUCGAACCUGAGUCAUAACCUAGAAGAUCAUUGGAGACAGUUCGUGAUCUAACAAGCGUGGUGGUGACGGAUCGUGAUCUAACAGAAGUGGUGGUGACGGAUCGUGAUCUAGAGCCUAAAUCACUUCAGUGGAAAAAGCCAACUCAUAUUUUCAAGAUACGAUUUCUGGAUUACGUAUUCCUAUAUAUUAUAUGAGAGCGGUCCUUA
rnacentral:lncRNA from 1 species